GUCUAAGCUCCAUCGCACAAUCAAACGCUUACGCACGCCGUCACAGCCGCCUCCGCUGCUAGGAAAGCCUCCCCGUCGUCUUUGCUCCCACCACCGGAGUCGCCGUUUGCUCUCCGGCCUCUGUAGUUGAAGUUCGACGGCCUGUUCUCCGAAGCUGUCGCACACUCGCACUGAACUACUGAAGGUCGAAACCCUGGUCCUAAACCCUUGAGUCGCCGUCUGCUUUCCGGCCUCCGCAGCAGAAGUCCGUUGCCCUGUUCUACGAAGCCGUCGCACUGAACUACUGAAGGCCGAAGCCGUCGCUCUGAGUGGCCGUCUGCUCUCCGGCCUCCGCAACCACAACCUGCACAACGGCUAACUAUUGUGCUAAUGAAAGAGGACAUUGCCAGACAUAGAGAAGAGCAAAUGCAAGUAGUACUGCUAUGUUGGAGGCACUGAGAUUCAUUGAGACAGCAAGAGCUAGGAUUGAGAAAGCUAGGGACAGCUGCUUGACUUUUGAUCAUUAGCAACUCUCAGAGCUCUUCUUGGCGAGAACACGAAACAGUGGUGGAGAAGUGUAGAAAGUUUUGCAGAACUUACAUUCAUCUAUACCAUCAAGAAAGUAUACCCAUCAUCUACACUUGAUCAAAGUCAUUGAAGUAGAAGGCUGUGGAUGCUGCAUUGAUCACAGCCAUAGAAGAAGUGACGAAUUUGAGGGCUUAUUUGGGUGCAUCGAGCAUACUUAAGUAGUAUAUAUUUUUGUUGUAUGGUAUUUAUAGUCUAUUGUUGGAAGUACU